AGUGAACGCUGGCGGUAGGCCUAACACAUGCAAGUCGAACGGCAGCACAGUAAGAGCUUGCUCUUACGGGUGGCGAGUGGCGGACGGGUGAGGAAUACAUCGGAAUCUACUUUUUCGUGGGGGAUAACGUAGGGAAACUUACGCUAAUACCGCAUACGACCUACGGGUGAAAGCAGGGGAUCUUCGGACCUUGCGCGAUUGAAUGAGCCGAUGUCGGAUUAGCUAGUUGGCGGGGUAAAGGCCCACCAAGGCGACGAUCCGUAGCUGGUCUGAGAGGAUGGAUCACCCACACUGAAACGAGGACACGGUCAAAACCCUAAGGGAGGGCACCAGUGGGAAUAUUGGGAAAAGGGGCGAAGCCUUGUCCAGGCCUACCGGCGUGGGGAAGAAGGCCCUCGGGUUGGUAAGCCCCUUUGUUGGGAAAGAAAAAGCGCCGGUUUAAACCCCGGUUGUCUGACGGGUACCAAAGAAUAAGCACCGGCUAACUUCGUG
rnacentral:rRNA from 1 species